UUUGGAAUCCCGAAUUAAAGCAGUUGAGAUAGAGUUAGCAUGAAGUAAUGUGCCUACAAAAUCAUGUCACACCCACCUCGAACCAAGGAGAGCUUACACCGUCAUUUAAUGACAACCCUCAUAGACCGGUUUCUUGACGGAAGCAGAAAGGAGGGCCACAAUUUCAUUGCAUGGAAGACCCACUUCAAGCGCUACUGCAACAUGCCAGCCCAAGAGGACAAGGGCCUACGCUCAGACUUCAGCUAUCUGGAGAGGCGUGGCUUAUUGUCUGUGGGCCGCUACAGCAUCCUCAAUAAGAUCUUCCAGAAGUUCGACCCUCGGGCCGUCAGUUUCAUCAACAAGGUCUCAGAAGAAAUGGCUGCCUUGCCAUCGGAGAAUAGGAUAGAAAAGAAGACGACUACCCUAAAAAUCGACGCAUACAUACUUCCGGUCGAAAAAGCGGUAGAAAAAGCAUUAUGGGAGAUCCUCCAUGACACUGUAACAUACAUAGAGUCAACGCCGGAUCCCAUUGCUACUACAGACGAAACCAUUGAGCUGUUAAACAGCAAUUCCACCGGGGGAAGCAAGAAAAAACCAAAACUCAAAAACCUAAUAGACAAAUCAGUCAAACUGAUAAAAGAACUGCGUGACGAAAAAGGGUCACCCAAUCAAGUCAGCUAUGACGUCAUCAAAGCCAUAUUUCAUCUGUAUCAAAAAAUGCGAAAAACGAACCACCUCAAAGGUUUGAAGGUCGGACCCAAGGGCAACUUCACAUUGCUGGCGGACUUUUCCACCGAAGUUGACCUCAAGAGCUGCCUUACUGAAGGCACAAUGAAGACUUUGAAGAACGACGUGUCUGAUUUUUUUGCUUCCAGUUACAACUGGCUCGGAAUCGACAUGAAGUACGGAAAGGUCAUUGUAGAGGUCAAAGAGGUGAAGGCCACGGAAGUCAAGGCCAAACUCAAACCAAGUAGUAAGCUUUAAUCUUUGAUCAUACCAUGUCUUAUGUUUUUGGACUCAAAGUUUCACUGAUCCUUUGCAAUUAAAUUUUUCAUCCAUAUCAAACAUUUACGCGUGACAUAUUAUGAUAUUUUCCAUUCACACAAAUAAUUGGUUGAAUAUUAUUUAUCAAUUAUUAAUCAAUCUCCUGUUUGAUAUGCUUUAAACCUCGGGGGCGGAUAAAAAUAUCCUUGGGGUCCAAGAGAGGAUUUAGUUUGCCUUGGAUGGGGAUGGGGAAGGGCUUCAAUUAAAACAUAUUUCUGUAAAUCUACAAUGUUAAAUUAAUAUUAAUAUAAAGUAAGAUUUUCAGGAGGGAGGAACAGACUCCCUGAUCCCUUCUAGAUUCAAACUUGAUCUUCAUGUGGUUAAUUCCAUUGCAGCUAUCCCACUAGACAUUAGGACCCCGGAGAGAAAAAUCCCCGUGCCCACCUUACACGAGAUCUGUCACCUGACCUUUGUUCUCCCUGACCUACUUUGGGCCAGCGACUCCGAGGGCACCAUCAUUCUUGUCAACCCCCAGGGUGAGGUCUUAGACACGCUGAACACGCAGUCCCAUGAAUGCGGGAAACACGCCGUCACCAACACGGGUGAACUCCUUUACUUAGAUCACGGCUGCGUGAUGAGGCACGUGCUCGGUCACGGCUCCAAACCGCUCGUGACGGAGAUCACGUUCGGCGGAUGGUGGGAGUGGUCGAUUUUCUGCAGUCACCAAAAUGGCGACAUUCUCGUUGGGAUGACAGACGAGAAUUUAGAUCACGGGAGAGUCGUACGAUUCAAUAAGCUCGGGAAACUGAUGCAGACGAUAGAAUACGAUGAUCGUAACAAACUCCUGUACAGCGUGCCGAGGUAUAUUGUGGAAAACGUGAACCGUGACGUAUGCACGUCGGAUAACGCUGGAAUCGUGGUGGUGGAUAAAACAGGAAAACAUCGCUUCACGUACGACCUGAAAGUCCCUCACGGUCUGUGCGUGAACUCUCAUGGACAUAUCAUUGCGUGCAACUGGACGUCCGCCAUUCACGUCAUCAACCAUAACGGGCACCUGCUUUGCAUCAUGGGAGUGGAAACAAGAGACGUCAUUUCCCUUUCUAUUGACGAGGAGGACAAUCUGUACGCUGGGUCUGAUUCCUCAAAUAUUGUCAGUGUGUAUAAGGUUUCUCUUGAAAAGAUGUUUAGGAAAUGAAAACAUCCGAAAAGAGGGGAAUCAAUUUCUGCUUCUGUCUCCGCUUCUUAAUACCGUGUUCAAAGAACGCUGAAUUUCAUCUAAUGAUCAGAGAGGGGAGUGUUUAUUAGUUGAUAUUUACAUUUUUAACUGUCUUUGUCUGUGAUAAUAUUACGAAUCAAUUUUGGAGCCAGUGGCCAAAUAACUUAAUAAAAGAUGAGCGA
rnacentral:misc_RNA from 1 species